rnacentral:rRNA from 1 species
GAGGAAUAUUGGUCAAUGGGCGAGAGCCUGAACCAGCCAUGCCGCGUGCAGGAAGACGGUCCUAUGGAUUGUAAACUGCUUUUAUUUGGGAAUAAACUCCGGUACGUGUACCGGCCUGAAGGUACCAAAUGAAUAAGCACCGGCUAACUCCGUGCCAGCAGCCGCGGUAAUACGGAGGGUGCAAGCGUUAUCCGGAAUCAUUGGGUUUAAAGGGUCCGCAGGCGGUCUUAUAAGUCAGUGGUGAAAGCCUACAGCUCAACUGUAGAACUGCCAUUGAUACUGUAAGACUUGAAUUCGAUCGAAGUGGGCGGAAUAUGACAUGUAGCGGUGAAAUGCUUAGAUAUGUCAUAGAACACCGAUAGCGAAGGCAGCUCACUAGGUCUGGAUUGACGCUCAGGGACGAAAGCGUGGGGAGCAAAC